UACGUAGGGGGCAAGCGUUGUCCGGAUUUAUUGGGCGUAAAGCGCUCGCAGGCGGUCCUUUGAGUCUGACGUGAAAGCCCACGGCUCAACCGUGGAAGGUCAUUGGAAACUGGAGGACUUGAGUACAGAAGAGGAAAGCGGAAUUCCACGUGUAGCGGUGAAAUGCGUAGAGAUGUGGAGGAACACCAGUGGCGAAGGCGGCUUUCUGGUCUGUAACUGACGCUGAGGCGCGAAAGCGUGGGGAGCAAACAGG
rnacentral:rRNA from 1 species